rnacentral:lncRNA from 1 species
UGACCAAUGGGCUUGGAUCAUUAAGGCCACGCCCCUUUUCUGCAUUCUAGUGAGACCCUGGUGACACCUCCUGUGGCUCAGUCACAUAGCUGCGUGGUACGUGACUGGAGGCAUAUCACUGUCCUCGCCUGGAUCACGCCAAUGUGGCCCCAACCCCACCUCCCUCCCCACCCCAUGAUGUCAGAAAAAACCUGACACAGAAAAUUGGCUGGGGCCAAGAGAAAGUUCACAGACUAUCGUCAGUGGAACAUUGCUGGUGUUGGUACCGGAGCAACCGACACCAAAAAGAAGAAAAUAAAUCAUGGCACUAACCCUGAGACAACCACUUCGGGGGGCUGCCACUCGCCUGAGGAUAAACAACAGAACGGAGCUCAGCUGAAAGAGGAAAAGAAGGCAAGCCACCAACAUCAGCAAGCCCUAAGGAGGCAGCUAGAGGCCCAGGAUCAUACCAUACGAAUCCUUAUGUGUCAGAAAACUGAACUGGAGACAGCGCUCCAUGACAGCCAGGAUGCUGCCAGGAAAUUUGAAG